CAGCGUCUAAGAGCAUGAGUUCCGAGAC
rnacentral:sRNA from 1 species